rnacentral:rRNA from 1 species
AUUGAACGCUGGCGGCAGGCCUAACACAUGCAAGUCGAGCGCGAAAGGUUUUCGGACUGAGUAAAGCGGCGGACGGGUGAGUAAUGCUUGGGAAUCUACCUAGUAGUGGGGGACAACAGUUGGAAACGACUGCUAAUACCGCAUACGACCUACGGGUGAAAGAGGGGGAUCUUCGGACCUCUUGCUAUUAGAUGAGCCCAAGUCGGAUUAGCUAGUUGGUAGGGUAAAGGCCUACCAAGGCGACGAUCCGUAGCUGGUUUGAGAGGAUGAUCAGCCACACUGGGACUGAGACACGGCCCAGACUCCUACGGGAGGCAGCAGUGGGGAAUUUUGGACAAUGGGCGCAAGCCUGAUCCAGCCAUGCCGCGUGAGUGAAGAAGGCCUCGG